AAGUGUACAGUUCUUUUAGAAUUUGUCUAGCAGGUUUUCUGGGUUUUACCAGAAAACACAC
rnacentral:snRNA from 1 species